GCAGUCGCCGCUGGAAUACAGAGGGUGCGAGCGUUAAUCGGAUUUACUGGGCGUAAAGCGUGCGUAGGCGGCUUCUUAAGUCGGAUGUGAAAUCCCUGAGCUUAACUUAGGAAUUGCAUUCGAUACUGGGAAGCUAGAGUAUGGGAGAGGAUGGUAGAAUUCCAGGUGUAGCGGUGAAAUGCGUAGAGAUCUGGAGGAAUACCGAUGGCGAAGGCAGCCAUCUGGCCUAAUACUGACGCUGAGGUACGAAAGCAUGGGGAGCAAACAGGAUUAGAUACCCGCGUAGUCCCUGUCUCUUAUAC
rnacentral:rRNA from 1 species